UUGCACGAUAGAAGCUUUCAUACUUCUUUCAUGGAGAAUGAAUAUUCCUUCAGUGCUAUUCAAAUGAGGAGUUUUCAGGGCCACCAGGCUUGGAACAGAGACUGAGUGGUAGUAUAUUUCUCCUACACUA